rnacentral:sRNA from 1 species
GCUGAGUGUGGGGCACACACCUGUAAUCCCAGCAACUUGGGAGGCUGAGGCAGGAGGAUCACAAGUUCAAAGCCAGCUUUAGUAAUUUAGUGAAGCUCUAAGCAACUUAGUGAGACUCUGUCUCAA